rnacentral:sRNA from 1 species
UAGUAGGAAAUUAAGGGUAUACGGUGGAUGCCUAGACUCUAGAAGGCGAUGAAGGACGUGGCGUGGCUGCGAUAAGCUUCGGGGAGAUGCCUAGCAAUCUUUGAUCCGGAGAUUUCCGAAUGGGGAAACCCGGCCAGUAAUGGUCACCUUAACUCUAGUUAAGGAGUACACCCAGGGAAGUGAAACAUCUCAGUACCUGGAGGAAAAGAAAACAAGCUGUACUUGUACAGCACAUUUCCGGAGUAGCGGCGAGCGAAAUGGAAACAGCCCAAACCUGACAUCACCUUUACUGUCUGGAUAGUCAGAUGGUAAAGGUGGCGCCGGGGGUAGUAAGGCAAUGACGUUGCUUUUAAAGCAAGAGGAGUUACAAAUUGUUUUGUUAGCGGAAGCUUCUGGGAAGAAGCACCCAAGAGGGUAAUAGUCCUGUACGUGAAAAUAAAACAACUCUUUUGUUGUUGUCCUUGAGUAGCUCAAGACACGAAAAGCUUGAGUGAAUCUGCCAGAACUAACUGGUAAGGCUAAAUACUUUUAGAGAUCGAUAGUGAACUAGUACCGUGAGGGAAAGGUGAAAAGCAGUCCGGUGAGGACAGUGAAAUAGACCUGAAACCGUAUAUCUACAAGGAGUCGAAGAGGAUCUAAUCCUCGACGGCGUGCCUAUUGAAGAAUGAGCCAACGAGUUUAUGUAUAUUGCAGGCUAAGCACUCUCGUGCGGAGCCAUAGGGAAACCGAGUGUUAAUAGCGCGAAAUAAUUGUAGUGUGCAUAAGACCCGAAACCAAGUGAGCUUGCCAUGGGCAGGGUGAACAUCUGAGAAAUCAGGUGGGAGGCCCGAACCGGUUGGUCGUGCAAUUCCAUCGGAUGACCUGUGGUACGCAGUGAAAAGCUAAUCGAACUUGGUAAUAGCUGGUUCUCUCCGAAAUAGCUUUAGGGUUAGCGUCUUGUGUUCCCUUUGGGGGUAGAGCACUGGAAGGUGAGAAUAGGGGGAAACCUCGUCUCUCCUAUCAAACUCCGAAUACCAAAGAUUAAUAACAAGGCAGUUAGACUACGGGGGCGAAGCUCCGUCGGUCGAAAGGGAAACAGCCCAGAUCUCAAGUUAAGGUCCCUAAAUUCAUACUAAGUGCACUUAAGGAGGUGGGAUUCCUCUGACAAUGAGGAGGUUGGCUUAGAAGCAGCCACCCUUUAAAGAAAGCGUAACAGCUCACUCAUUCAGGGAUCCUGCGCCGCAGAUAAUCGGGGCUAAGUAUGAUACCGAAACUGAGGGCUUGUGAGUUUCAUUGAGGAAAAAAUAGAGACGAGAGGUGUUAGUAACUCCAGAUCAGCUUGCUGGGGAGAAUCGCAUCUCUUUAGGUGUGGAUUAAGGUGUGAGCUCCGACACGUGAGCAUUGCGCCUCCGCGCCGCCAGGAGGGUUAAGUUCCUAGGAGGCUGUGAGAGGACCGAAGCUGCGGGCCAAUCACAAACUCCGAAGUUCAAGUCGGCUUUGUCGGCGCCCUCCUCACCGUUCUUUUGGAGCAAGUGCUCCUAAAUUUGUUUGUUUGACUCCUGGUAGCUCAGCCUGGUAGAGCAGUGACCUCCAAAGCCAUUUGUCGCAAGUUCAAAUCUUGCCCGGGAGGCCAAACAAAAUUUUCCGAAAUUGUUGUCCUCAACAAUUUCGGAUCCUCAAUGAAAUUCAUAAGCGGUAGGAGAGCGUUCUGUUCUGCAAUGAAGCUGAAGGGAUAACCCACAGUGGAGCGUACAGAAGUGAGAAUGUUGGCACGAGUAACCGCAAUCAGGGUGAGAUUCCCUGACGCCGAAAAUCCAAGGUUUCCUUGGCGAUGAUAAUCAGCCAAGGGUUAGUCGGUCCUAAGGUGAUCCCGAAAGGGGGAAUCGAUGGACACAUGGUUAAUAUUCCAUGACUUUAUUAUUGUGUGAUGGGGUGACGGAGUGUUGUACUUUAAGCGCAUUAUCGGAUUUGCGUCCGUGCUUUGAGGGUGCCUCUUAGGUAAAUCCGGGGGGCCUUGCCCGAGAUGAGCGGAAAUCUAGCGGCUUCGGCCAAAGGAAAUUUAAAGGAGCACGCUUCCAAGAAAAACCUCUAAGCUUAGCAAUAGUAAAACCGUACCAAAACCGACACAGGUGGAUAGGUCGAGUAGACCAAGGCGAACGAGUGAAAGGUCCUCAAGGAACUCGGCAAAACAGCGGCCGUACCUUCGGAAUAAGGCCUGCCCCCACCACUUUGUACAUUUCAGAGUGGUGGAGAGUAAACUUGAGAAAAGAUAAAGAAAAAGAGAUAAAGAGCUCUCUAUCAUUUUGGCGAAGUGUCCAAAGUGGUGGGGGCCGCAGCGAAAGAUCCCUGGCGACUGUUUAUCAAAAACACAGCUCCCUGCGAACUCGUAAGAGGAUGUAUAGGGGGUGACGCCUGACCAAUGCCAGAAGGUUAAGCACGGACGGUGUGAUGUUCUUCGGAAUGUCAUGCUUGGCUGUGUAAGCCCUGGUGAAUGUCGGCCGUAACUAUAAAUCGUUGUAGUUACGUUAAUAAAUCUUGCUAUAUGCGGGAAACUCUGACCGGAGUGUCAUACCUUAGUGAACUCUCCAAGGUAUCCGGUGCUACUCACCACAAAGUCGUAAGUGGAAGUAACAAUGUAUCGGUGCAGACAAUCCGCAGGAAAGAUUAUUGUGUGGUAAUUACGGAAAUAUGCGUGAUUACAAAUCAAUUAACCAGAACCAUGGUUACUACAUAGCUGGUUUCGUUGACGGAGAGGGUAGUUUCAAUGUCUCUCUCACAAAACGAAAAGAUUAUGUAGGAAAAUGGAAGAUAACUGCGUCGUUUAAUGUGUCACAAAAAGAUCGCACCAUACUUGCUUUUGUUAAAAAAGUGAUUGGGUGCGGGACACUUAGAGAGCGCAAAGAUGGUGUAGUGUACUAUGAAGUCACAAACAUCAGAUCCCUAUACGAAAACAUACUCCCGUUUUUCAGGAAGUUCUGUUUUCUGUCAGAAAAUAAGAAACGCAACUUUGCUAUCUUUUCAAAGAUAGUAAGAAAGAUGUAUAAAAAAGAACAUCUUAACAAAGAAGGAUUUGAAGAAAUUCUUCAACUGCGCGAGAAGCUCAAUCAAGGGGUUGGGCGUACGCGCAAAUACACAUUAAAGAGUGUAAAACACACACAAUAAAAUCCUCACAGACUAUACGCAGGACACGCGCUAGAACAACACUGUCGACUUUCUAGCAUUCGUGAAGAUAUAGUCGGGCCCUUAUGGCGACAUAAGGUUGGCAAAACGCUUAAUUGUUUGCCAUAUAAAACAUAAGCAAACGGUCCUAAGGUACACUUCACGACAUUUGUCGUUGGGUGUAGGACUAGGACCGUUAUAUAGAUAAACAGAGACGCAAGUUACCUUCCAUAUAGAAAUAUAUGUGUAGUCCAAAUCACGAUUAACAAGAGACCAACGUCGUGGCCCUCCCUCCUUGAUAUAAAGGAGAAGGGAUAAGAUAGAGUCCAUGGAGUGUUAGUAGGAAUACAUGAGCGAAAUUCCUUGUCUGGUAAUUUCAGACGUGCACGAAUGGCGUAACGACUGGGGAACUGUCUCGAGGACUUGCUCGGUGAAAAUGCGAUGCCGGUGAAGAUGCCGGCUACCUACAGUGGGACGAAAAGACCCCGGGAGCUUUACUACAACUUGAUAUUGGGUAUGUGAGUGAGCUGCGUAGCAUAGGAGGGAGACUUUGAAGCACUUUUUUCGGAAGGUGUGGAGUCGUCAGUGAAAUACCUCUCUGUUUAUUUGCAUGCUCUAACUUGUACGGAAAAAACGGACAGGAACAGUAUCUGGUGGGUAGUUUGAGUGGGGCGCUCUCCUCCUAAAGAGUAACGGAGGAGUCUAUUAAGGUUCUCUAGGCGCGAAUGGAAACCGUGCCGAUAGUGUAAUGGCAAAAGAGAGCUUGACUGCGAGACGGACAUGUCGAGCAGGUGCGAAAGCAGAGCAUAGUGAACCGAUGGUUCAUAUUAGAUGUGGCCAAAGAUUAACGGAUAGAAGUUACCCCGGGGAUAACAGGCUGGUACCGCCUAAGCGUCCAUAGCGACGGCGGUGUUCGGCACCUCGAUGUCGGCUCACCUUAUCCUGGUGGCGUAGAAGCUGCCAAGGGUUUGGCUGUUCGCCAAUUAAAAAGGUACGCGAGCUGGGUUCAGACCGUCGUGAGACAGGUUGGUCUUAAUCUACUGUAGGCGUUGAUUCUUGAGGAGAUCUGCUCCUAGUACGAGAGGACCGGAGUGGACUGACCUCUGGUGUACGAGCUGUCGUGCCAACGGCACAGCUCGGUAGCUAAGUCGGGAAUGGAUAACUGCUGAAUGCAUAUAAGCGGGAAGCCAACUCCAAGAUCAGGAAUCGUUUGAGAUCCCUAGGAGAUUACUAGGUGAUAGGCACUAGGUGUACGCACAGUAAUGUGUUUAGCCGAGGUGUACUAAUUAAUCGAUCCUAUUAGG